rnacentral:rRNA from 1 species
AUUGAACGCUGGCGGCAGGCCUAACACAUGCAAGUCGAACGAGUGGCGGACGGGUGAGUAAUGCUUGGGAAACUGGCUUAUGGAGGGGGAUAACUACGGGAAACGGUAGCUAAUACCGCGUACCAUAGGAUGAGCCCAAGUGGGAUUAGGUAGUUGGUGGGGUAAAGGCUCACCAAGGCGACGAUCUCUAGCUGGUCUGAGAGGAUGACCCGACACCAUGGGACUGGGACACGGCCCAGACUCCUACGGGAAGGAAGAGUGGGGAAUUAUCCGAAAUGGACGGAAGUUGACGGAGCAACGCCGCGUGGGUGAUGGAGGCCUUCGGGUUGUAAAGCUCGUUAAGCGGGACGGCGGUACCGGAAUAGAAAGCCACGGCUAACUACGUGCCAGCAGCCGCGGUAAUUC